rnacentral:rRNA from 1 species
GCUAGUGUUAGAGGGUUUCCGCCCUUUAGUGCUGAAGUUAACGCAUUAAGCACUCCGCCUGGGGAGUACGGCCGCAAGGCUGAAACUCAAAGGAAUUGACGGGGGCCCGCACAAGCGGUGGAGCAUGUGGUUUAAUUCGAAGCAACGCGAAGAACCUUACCAGGUCUUGACAUCCUCUGAAAACCCUAGAGAUAGGGCUUCUCCUUCGGAGCAGAGUGACAGGUGGUGCAUGGUUGUCGUCAGCUCGUGUCGUGAGAUGUUGGGUUAAGUCCCGCAACGAA